AACAUUUUCGGGAAACCCCUGGGACUUAAAGUGUGCAUAGGACUGCAGCAUUAUCUAGCACCCUCCAACAGGCUACAUCUGGGCUAUCCCAUUUUAAAUUAUUCAUACACAGGUCUACUCAUGCGCCGCUGAGUUAAAUGGGACUUCCUUCAAAGUAAAUUGCAUAGAUAGGAUUGCAAGCUAGAAAUGACAUUAAAAAGGUUUGUGGUGUCCAGAUCUUAGAACCAAUUGUAUUCCGAUUGCAAUUAAAAAACAAAACAAAACCAUAAUUAAACACGCAUUUAUCUGCCAUCCUAGAGACACACCCGGGUAAUUCAGCGGGGCUUGCUUUUGAGUAGACCUAUACUGUAUAUAAUGCACUGUUAUUCACUUUUAUUUGCAAUAUUAUAUAUACACACACAUUUAUUGCAUAACAUAACAAGGGGAGAUUUAUCUUACCUCAGCUUGUUUUAACUCGACUCCAAAGAUUGCCUUUCCUUCCCACCCUCCAAAAAAUAAGUUUUGGGGGGAAUUUUUUUUACAAGGACUCUUGUUUUCCGUGGACCUUCCACGAAAGACAAUGGCAUUUAGGAAACAAACAACGCAAAACACUACUGGUUCUUUAUGGGACAAGAUUAUCUCCCUCCUUAAAAAAAUUAAAGACUUCUGUCCCCCCCUUUUUUUCUAUCCUUGAAAGUGAAUUUAAACCCCCUAAACUCACUCCCACCAUCACGUGGUGCUGAAAUUGGGAACAGAAGCAGAUUUGGAAGGCGGGGGAGGGGGGGAAAGUAAACUGGGGUCAGCCUUUUAAUGAACCAUUUUCCCCCAGACCUUAAAUAUAUUUAUGUAUAUAAUCCGGGGCUGUCUAGAAGUUUGAUACUGAAGGAGAAGGCGGGAGCAGGGAAGAGAAGGCUUUUGUGGCGGCGGUGAAAAAAGCAACCCCAGAGCAAACCUCCUAUUUUAAAAAGGUGGGUUGUUGUUACCUGUUGCUUAUAUCAGAGGAGCAGAAGGAAGACAAACAGGUGCUGCGUGCGAUUAUUUGGCUCUGAAAUAUAACAUUCUCUCCCCUUUCCUUCAACAGGGGCAACUUUUAUCAUGAGGGAAAAGCCAAACGCGUGUUCUAAAUGUAAUAACCCUUUUGCUUGUGUUUUGUUUGUUUGUUUGUUUGUUUGUUUGUUUAGGGGCGACCUAAAGGGUGGAGAAGCUGCCCAAAGCCUGACUUAGGAGAAAGCUCUCCUUAACUCAAUGGGAGGCUUACUUCUGAGUAGACGUGCUUAGGAUGGCGCAGUUACCCUGCCAACUUAAGCCCUCACUGGGCACGCCGUGGGGCUUCUUCCUCUUAAGUAACUGGUCCCUGCAUAGGGAGUGAAUGGCUAGGCUGGAUUUCUGGAGAGCUUGUGGCGACCUUCCCCUUUUCUUUUUAAAGGAGUUUGGUCUCAUGUCAUCGAAUGAUGUCAUUAAAUAUUUGGAUGAUCAGCCUGAAGUUUUCCAGGUUAGAUUUUUAGAUGCUUGUGCGUGGGGUUUUUGUUUUUUUAAAAUUAACCCUCCCUCACUACAUUUUAAAAACUGAAGCCAUAUCUAUCCAUUUCUUGAGAACACCGUGUUGAAGUCAAGAAAGGAUCUAGGGAGGUAAGGUCCCCCCCCCCCGCAAAAAAAUAUCUCUGCCUGAUUUUGUGAACGCAAAGAUAACCCAUUUCGUUUGUUUGUUUGUUUGUCUGUUUGCGCCCCCCACUUUGUCCAAAUCGACUUCCAGUUUUGCCUUGCGCUUUCUCUCUCCCGCCCCUCCACCUCUGGCAAAUGUUGUCCCCCUCCCCCAAUUUAAAUGAUCUGGUGUUUUUCAACACGAGCUUUUACACACUUAAAAAAGAAAGAAAUUCAGUUCAAAUUCGAAAGAUCAUUGAUUUAUGUAGCGCGACCAAAGCCCCGAGGCGCUUACAAUGCAAACCAUCGGGACGCAUUAAAUUGUAAUACUGAGAGAGACUUGCGUGGGGGGGGGGCGGUGCUGUUUUUAAACAAUCCUGGUGUUCCUUGCUGAGUCUUCUCUCAGCCGAUUUGCGUUCAAGGAAGCGCUCGGGGAACGUUUAUUAUUAGACAGUCAAGCUAUAAACACCAUCCCAAUUUUGUUAAAAAUUGCUGCUAAAGGGUUUCUUGCUUCGUUUCAGCGUUCUUUUUUUUUUUAGCAUAACCUGAGAAGGACAAGUGAAUAAAAGGCGAAUGAUUGGCACAAAAUAGCUAGUGGAGUGGUCAAAAGUGGCAGGAGCGAAGCCGGACAGCCAUCACACCCUGGGGGCUAUUUCAGUCCCCGACGCGCGUGUGUCUCGUUGUGAUUGGCCCGUGGCGACGCACAGAUACUCUGCACACGCUCUAGGCACUCUUGUUAUUGCCUGGCAUAUAGGCCCCGCAUCAAAUUAAACUCUGGCAACGAGUCCACUUCACAUACAACACCCCAACGAGCGGCGGCGGAACUAGGGAGGGGUCGCAUAUUUUUUAAAAAAUGCUUCCAACCCAGUAACCCCAAACCCAGUGACCACCUCUCCGUACUUACUUCCAAGGAAGGGGUUCCGAUCCUGCUGCUGGAAUGUUGCAUGUUGUUGCUUUUAACUGCCUAAAUCCAUGCCUACCUACAAAGCAAUAUGAUGCAUGCUCUGAGUAAUCUUAUGAGUGAGUCGGCCAAUUGGUGCCAAAGAAGGAUAGAACUUUUUUUAUGUAUGCCACAACAGCAGCAAGAAUAUUCAUUGCAAAGUAUUGGAAGACACAAGAUCUACCCACUCUGGAAGAAUGGCAGAUGAAGGUGAUUGACUAUAUGGAACUGGCAGAAAUGACUGGCAGAAUCCGGGACCAGGGAGAAGAGUCGGUGGAAGAAGAUUGGAAGAAAUUUAAAGACUAUUUACAGAAAUAUUGUAAAAUUAAUGAAUGUUAGAAUGAUGUUGGAUAGAAAUUAAGUGGUUUUUAGCUGCAAUACUAUAAGGGAAUAUGAAAAAUGGAUUACUAACAGGUAAAAAUGUAAUGUUACAAUAUUUUAAGAUUAAUGAUUAGGAUAGACAAAGAGGGGAAGGAUUUGCUGAACCAACAAACCGAACUGGAAUACAAAAAAGGGAGGCGUGAGGAGGUCCGGGAAACAAGCUAAUGAAAAAUAAGUAAUG
rnacentral:lncRNA from 1 species